rnacentral:rRNA from 1 species
AGCAGCCGCGGUAAUUCCAGCUCCAAUAGCGUAUAUUAAAGUUGUUGCAGUUAAAAAGCUCGUAGUUGAAUUUCGGGACCAAGGAAUCGGUCAUGCCUCGGUAUGUACUGGUUUUAUUGGUUCUCACCUUCUAAAGAACCAUAAUGUCAUUUAUUUGAUGUUAUGGGGAAUUAGGACUGUUACCUUGAAAAAAUUAGAGUGUUUAAAGCAAGCUUACGCUUGAAUACAUUAGCAUGGAAUAAUGAAAUAGGACAUCCGAUUCUAUUUUGUUGGUUUCUAGGAUCGAUGUAAUGAUUAAUAGGGAUAGUUGGGGGCAUUAGUAUUCAAUUGUCAGAGGUGAAAUUCUUGGAUUUAUUGAAGACUAACUACUGCGAAAGCAUUUGCCAAGGAUGUUUUCAUUAAUCAAGAACGAAAGUUAGGGGAUCGAAGACGAUCAGAUACCGUCGUAGUCUUAACCAUAAACUAUGCCGACUAGGGAUCGGAUGAUGUUUAUUUUUAGU